CACCGACAUGCUUCUCUGCAACAAUCAAAUAAGAGUUCUUUUAGGUUUGCGUAGAGUUCAGAGUGAUAAACGAGUGUCCUAUGGUACAGUGCAAACUAGGUGAUUCAGGGAGAAAAAAAAACAAAGCCAUGCUCAACCUGCAGAAGCAGAAUGGUGCUCUUGUGUGGCUGAGUUGUUUUGUACAAUCGGUCAACAGAAAGACAUUUCUUUAAGAUAGACAAUGGUACCCUUAAUUUGUUGUACCUGUGGUGCCCUUCAUAAUUAAUAUACUAUGCUCUUGUAUAGUACAUGUGUUCUCUUGUUCCCUUCACAAUUAUUCUGUACGUCUAUGCACAUUAUGAUACUGCAAGUUUUUCAGUGACCCAUUUUUCAUCCUUUCAAUGUUCUAUUGUAAGAAAGCUUAGGCGAACAUGACACAUAGAGGGUUGAAAUUAUGAGAACAAUACUUGUACGGUUGUUUUUUCCCCUUCAAUAUGCUUUUGGUCUAAAAAAGACAGUUAUGGCUGGACUGUUGGAUAUGAUG